AUUGAACGCUGGCGGCAGGCCUAACACAUGCAAGUCGAGCGGAUGAAGGGAGCUUGCUCCUGGAUUCAGCGGCGGACGGGUGAGUAAUGCCUAGGAAUCUGCCUGGUAGUGGGGGAUAACGUCCGGAAACGGGCGCUAAUACCGCAUACGUCCUGAGGGAGAAAGUGGGGGAUCUUCGGACCUCACGCUAUCAGAUGAGCCUAGGUCGGAUUAGCUAGUUGGUGGGGUAAAGGCCUACCAAGGCGACGAUCCGUAACUGGUCUGAGAGGAUGAUCAGUCACACUGGAACUGAGACACGGUCCAGACUCCUACGGGAGGCAGCAGUGGGGAAUAUUGGACAAAGGGCGAAAGCCUGAUCCAGCCAUGCCGCGUGUUUGAAGAAGGUCUUCUGAUUGUAAAGCACUUUAAGUUGGGAGGAAGGGCAGUAAGUUAAUACCUUGCUGUUUUGACGUUACCAACAGAAUAAGCACCGGCUAACUUCGUG
rnacentral:rRNA from 1 species